UUGAUUUAUCUCACAGGGCUAUAACCAAUUUUGCCCCUGUCCUGACAGCGUGUAUUUCCAGUGAGGUUUCACUGAUACCAGUUAGGGUUUCUUUCAUUUUUCUGCUUCUCGCAUCAUCCUUUUUGCACCUAACACAGACAGGGCUGCAUCCAUUUCUUCACUUAAUGGGUAAUUACACAUAAAACUAACACAUAGUACAAAAGGCACUAAUAGAGUUAGGUUUUUAAAUUUUUUUUUGAUGACAUGAAAUGCAGUUUUGUCGUGUCUACAUUGAAGUGCCUGCACUGUGCUCUCUCUCCUCUGCUGAGCUUGUGAGGAUCCUGCUUCCUGGGGGUGGAUCCGUGACUCGUCAUCUGCAUCGACUACUCCUGGGGGGUGCUCCGGCUCGUUGGCCUUGGACGACUGUGGUUCUGGCAGGGCUGCUGGGACACCUCAUUCGUUGGGAUUACUGUCAACUGCUCUUCCCUUUUUGUGGAUUACGAUAAGUACUGUUGCGGAGUUCAAUCUUUUAUUUGGAAUAUUACCCUGCCAGUGCAUACAAAGAUCAAAUUGAUGUUUGGAAUACUACCCUGUUCGUGGAUACGUACAAGAUUUGCUCCUGCUUUGCUUUAUUGCCCGUGAGGAUAUAAAGUUGCUGUUGCUUCGUUUAUAGCUUCCAUGGGGAAUAAUUAAUAACCUGCUGACUUGUGUUCUUCCUGAGGAGUAUGCAAAACUGUUCUUCGGCGUGGGGUUCGUACCUCACCACAGAUGGCUGUUCCCUUGGGAUCGCAUCCUGUUCUGUUGUCAAGAUUCUUCAUAACUUGGGUUUGUUCAACGACCAAGUGGUCUCUUGAAGGACCACAUUGACCUUGAAAAGGGGGGAUAUGUAACGUUAUGAAGUUCAUAAUUUUCAGCUCCACACAGCUGCCCCUGUACACAGUAACAUCCGUGUAGAAAACGCCAAGGUCAGGUGUUCCUCAGACUGUUUACAUUCCAGGAGAAGAGCCAGAAGGAGAAGAAGAACGCUUUUACUUAAUCAAAGCACUUUAUUUGUGAUUGAAAAUUAAGCAAAACAUAUGUCGAUCAAUAAUAAUCAAGUGAAUGAUCUGUGAAAUAAAGAUGUCAUGAUUUAUGUGUUUAAUGAAAACAGGACUACUGCACAGACAGACUGACCCUCAUCUCCAUAGAAACGCAUGACACAUUGUUCCAACCAAUCAGAGCUUUCGGCUGCCGUAAGAGAAUCUGGCUUGUUGAAUUAAAGUGUCCAAUCCCGUUGUUGAGGGUCUGACCUCAUGAGGAAAUUACUAUGCAGUGAUUUUCUCCAAAAUGACUGUGCUUAAAUUGCUCUGGAAAGCAAAUAAUCACAUCAGCGCCAAGAAACUUCAUUUCCCAUGAUGCUUUGCACACGGAAGCAUUGGGUGAUGUUACCGCCUAGUACCAGAAACACGUUCUGCGCAUGUGCGGGAAGCCGUGGAGCUUUUCCCGCGAACUAAGACCAUAAAUCUUCAGCAGAGACAAAGAAUCCUCGUUCUUUUGCCCAGGAUACCUGGCGGUAAGGACACGCUUAUCGAACGCUCCGAUUCCCUUGAGCACGCGGAAGCUCUAAGUGCCCAAGUUGAGGACACAGAACGGCGGAGGAAAGCAACAACUCCAUCCAGCUCUCUGAGACGCUCCCGUGGAGAAACACUCGUGAACGCCAAACAACGGAGAAAGCAUCAAACCGACGGACGACGCCGAAAGCUGCGGAGAAACACGGAGAACCGUCAAAUCAAAACAGUGAGGGACGCUUCACUGUUCUGGUGAUCAGAAACUCAUCUCUUUCUCUCAUUCUUUCCUUCUCCCGUUUCCUCUAUAGUCUCGAAUAAGCAAUAAACCGCGUCUAUUGCUUAAAAAGUAGCUUCGUGCUUUCCUCUUUCGUCCCAAACACGUCAGUCGGGUCAUUUUGAAAGAAUAAACUGCUUAUUGAUCAUUGUUUGGUAUCUUUAAAUGUUUUCUGCUUGGCCACGUGGUUAAACUAAAAGAUAUUAUUCG